rnacentral:tmRNA from 1 species
GGGGCUGUUUUUGGAUUUGACAAAAUUAUCAACAAAGUAAAGUGCAUGCCGAGGAACGGUUUGCCUCGAUAAAAGCCGUAAAAAAAUAAUUGCAAAUAAUAAACAAAACUACGCUUUAGCAGCUUAAAAAACUGAAUAAAGCCCUUCCUUCUUAUCCUCCUUCUCUUAGGAUGAGAAAACAGGAAGGUCAGAAAAAGAGAAAAACGUGGAUAUCAAGCUUGACGAUAACACGAAGUAGUUUUUUCAAGCUAUAUACCUAAUAUGUGUUUUUCCAAAUUAGGUAAUGAAUUCA